GAUGAAGAACGCAGCGAAAUGCGAUAAGUAAUGUGAAUUGCAGAAUUCAGUGAAUCAUCGAAUCUUUGAACGCACAUUGCGCCCCUUGGUAUUCCGGGGGGCAUGCCUGUUCGAGCGUCAUUAUAACCCCUCAAGCCCUCGGCUUGGUGUUGGACGGUUUGGUGGAGGCCCCCUCGGGGGCUCCUGCCCCUCCCAAAGACAAUGACGGCGGCCUCGUUGGACCCCCGGUACACUGAGUUCUUCACGGGACACGUAUCGGACACAUGGGUUUACGGGACACGGUCUGCCUCCCCUCAGGGAGAAUCUUUCUAAGGUUGACCUCGGAUCAGGUAGGGAUACCCGCUGAACUUAAGCAUAUCAAUAAGCGGAGGA
rnacentral:misc_RNA from 1 species